AGUAGCUAGGUCUCACUGUUGGUUUUUGUCAAUUAUUUGUAUUUGAAGGUUUCCGAUAUAGCGAUAGCGGCUAUCAUUCAUCGAUAGCGUUGUCAAAUUGACACUAUCGAUACUAUCUAUAGAGCUUUCGAUAGUUGUGCAGCUAUAUCGACCAAUGUCCGACCAUUUCAUCGACGUGUGCGUAAUCACAAAAAAGAAUUCGCCAAGCUGAAAGGUGAAUCUGAGUAACUUCCAUUCACGCGCAUUGGUCACAUACAAUUUGAGGUUUUAACAUGAUUCUCUUGGAAAUAAAUAACCGAAUCGUCGAAGAUACCCUUAUAGUCAAAUUUCGGAAUGCCCUAUCUGG